CCUACGGGGCGCUGCAGUGGGGAAUAUUGGACAAUGGGCGAAAGCCUGAUCCAGCCAUGCCGCGUGUGUGAAGAAGGCCUUCGGGUUGUAAAGCACUUUCAGUGGGGAAGAAAGCCUUGGGGCUAAUACCCUCGAGGAAGGACAUCACCCACAGAAGAAGCACCGGCUAACUCCGUGCCAGCAGCCGCGGUAAUACGGAGGGUGCGAGCGUUAAUCGGAAUUACUGGGCGGAAAGCGCGCGUAGGCGGUCUGAUAAGCCGGUUGUGAAAGCCCCGGGCUCAACCUGGGAACGGCAUCCGGAACUGUCAGGCUAGAGUGCAGGAGAGGAAGGUAGAAUUCCCGGUGUAGCGGUGAAAUGCGUAGAGAUCGGGAGGAAUACCAGUGGCGAAGGCGGCCUUCUGGACUGACACUGACGCUGAGGUGCGAAAGCGUGGGUAGCAAACAGGAUUAGAUACCCGAGUAGUC
rnacentral:rRNA from 1 species